rnacentral:rRNA from 1 species
AUUGAACGCUGGCGGCGUGCUUAACACAUGCAAGUCGAUCGGUAACAGGUGUAGCAAUACAUGCUGACGAGAGGCGGACGGGUGAGUAAUGCUUGGGAAUCUGCCUAUUAGUGGGGGACAACCCGGGGAAACUCGGGCUAAUACCGCAUACGCUCUACGGAGGAAAGCCGGGGACCGCAAGGCCUGGCGCUAAUAGAUGAGCCCAAGUCGGAUUAGCUAGUUGGUAGGGAACGGCCUACCAAGGCGACAAUCCGUAGCUGGUCUGAGAGGACGACCAGCCACACCGGAACUGAGACACGGUCCGGACUCCUACGGGAGGCAGCAGUGGGGAAUAUUGGACAAUGGGGGCAACCCUGAUCCAGCGACCGCCGCGUGGGUGAAGAAGGCCUGCGGGUUGUAAAGCCCUUUCGGUGGGGAAGAAAAGUCUCGACCUAAUACGUCGGGACCUUGACGUAACCCACUAAAGAAGCACCGGCUAACUCUGUGCCAGCCGCCG